rnacentral:rRNA from 1 species
GAUGAACGCUGGCGGCGUGCCUAAUACAUGCAAGUCGAGCGAACAGACGAGGAGCUUGCUCCUUUGACGUUAGCGGCGGACGGGUGAGUAACACGUAGGUAACCUACCUAUAAGACUGGGAUAACUUCGGGAAACCGGAGCUAAUACCGGAUAAUAUUUCGAACCGCAUGGUUCGAUAGUGAAAGAUGGCUUUGCUAUCACUUAUAGAUGGACCUGCGCCGUAUUAGCUAGUUGGUAAGGUAACGGCUUACCAAGGCAACGAUACGUAGCCGACCUGAGAGGGUGAUCGGCCACACUGGAGUGAGACACGGUCCAGACUCCUACGGGAGGCAGCAGUAGGGAAUCUUCCGCAAUGGGCGAAAGCCUGACGGAGCAACGCCGCGUGAGUGAUGAAGGUCUUCGGAUCGUAAAACUCUGUUAUUAGGGAAGAACAAACGUGUAAGUAACUGUGCACGUCUUGACGGUACCUAAUCAGAAAGCCACGGCUAACUACGUG